GACGAACGCUGGCGGCGUGCUUAACACAUGCAAGUCGAACGGAAAGGCCCUGCUUUUGUGGGGUGCUCGAGUGGCGAACGGGUGAGUAACACGUGAGUAACCUGCCCUUGACUUUGGGAUAACUUCGGGAAACUGGGGCUAAUACCGGAUAGGAGCUCCUGCUGCAUGGUGGGGGUUGGAAAGUUUCGGCGGUUGGGGAUGGACUCGCGGCUUAUCAGCUUGUUGGUGGGGUAGUGGCUUACCAAGGCUUUGACGGGUAGCCGGCCUGAGAGGGUGACCGGCCACAUUGGGACUGAGAUACGGCCCAGACUCCUACGGGAGGCAGCAGUGGGGAAUAUUGCACAAUGGGCGGAAGCCUGAUGCAGCAACGCCGCGUGCGGGAUGACGGCCUUCGGGUUGUAAACCGCUUUCGCCUGUGACGAAGCGUGAGUGACGGUAAUGGGUAAAGAAGCACCGGCUAACUACGUGCCAGCAGCCGCGGUGAUACGUAGGGUGCGAGCGUUGUCCGGAUUUAUUGGGCGUAAAGGGCUCGUAGGUGGUUGAUCGCGUCGGAAGUGUAAUCUUGUGGCUUAACCCUGAGCGUGCUUUCGAUACGGGUUGACUUGAGGAAGGUAGGGGAGAAUGGAAUUCCUGGUGGAGCGGUGGAAUGCGCAGAUAUCAGGAGGAACACCAGUGGCGAAGGCGGUUCUCUGGGCCUUUCCUGACGCUGAGGAGCGAAAGCGUGGGGAGCGAACAGGCUUAGAUACCCUGGUAGUCCACGCUGUAAACGGUGGGUACUAGGUGUGGGGUCCAUUCCACGGGUUCCGUGCCGUAGCUAACGCUUUAAGUACCCCGCCUGGGGAGUACGGCCGCAAGGCUAAAACUCAAAGGAAUUGACGGGGCCCCGCACAAGCGGCGGAGCAUGCGGAUUAAUUCGAUGCAACGCGUAGAACCUUACCUGGGUUUGACAUGGAUCGGGAGUGCUCAGAGAUGGGUGUGCCUCUUUUGGGGUCGGUUCACAGGUGGUGCAUGGCUGUCGUCAGCUCGUGUCGUGAGAUGUUGGGUUAAGUCCCGCAACGAGCGCAACCCUUGUUCACUGUUGCCAGCACGUUAUGGUGGGGACUCAGUGGAGACCGCCGGGGUCAACUCGGAGGAAGGUGGGGAUGACGUCAAGUCAUCAUGCCCCUUAUGUCCAGGGCUUCACGCAUGCUACAAUGGCUGGUACAGAGAGUGGCGAGCCUGUGAGGGUGAGCGAAUCUCGGAAAGCCGGUCUCGGUUCGGAUUGGGGUCUGCAACUCGACCUCAUGAAGUCGGAGUCGCUAGUAAUCGCAGAUCAGCAACGCUGCGGUGAAUACGUUCCCGGGGCU
rnacentral:rRNA from 1 species